UACAGAGGUCUCGAGCGUUUGUUCGGAUUCAUUGGGCGUAAAGGGUGCGUAGGCGGCGAGCUAAGUUUGGUGUGAAAUCCUGGGGCUUAACCUCAGAAAUGCACUGAAUACUGGUUUGCUAGAGGACUGGAGAGGAGAUUGGAAUUCACGGUGUAGCAGUGAAAUGCGUAGAUAUCGUGAGGAAGACCAGUGGCGAAAGCGAAUCUCUGGACAGUUCCUGACGCUGAUGCACGAAGGCUAGGGGAGCAAACGGG
rnacentral:rRNA from 1 species